AAUGAGGCAGCAAAUGCACGCUUUUUGCGUGGCUGAUUAGCCCAACGAAAGCUUACCAGACAAUCUGAAUGCGACUAAACCAAACCAACCUGGAGGAGAUCUUGUCCAAUCCAAAAAACAGAAAAUAUCAUGGCCCAAUCAGACGCAGUGUAAGCAGUCAGUCAGUGUCGUUCACUUUUCCACCCGUUUUAGUCUCUGGGCUACACCAUUAGCUGAGCAUGCUGGAACCUAAAUGGCAAACCCUGAAAAACACCAUUUCACGCUUAAUCGAAGAAUGCGAGAGUCUGAGAGAGCUCAAGCAAAUUCAUGCCCACAUCAUAACUUAUCCAAAACUACCCAAAAACCAUCAAGAUUUCCUCAUUACUCGCCUCCUCUUCUUUAUUGCCCUCACAGACUCCGGCUCUCUUUGCUACGCGAUCCAUGUUUUCAAAUUUAUAAAAUACCCAACACUCUCCGUAUAUAACAUCAUGAUCAGAGCCUACGCUUCCAAAAUCUGCGACACGAAUGAUGGUGCUCCUUUUUUACCAUCUUUACUUCUUUUCAAGCAAAUGCUUUUUAAUGGCAUUUCACCGGAUUGCCUUACGUUUCCUUUUCUUCUAAAGGAAUGCACGAGGAGGUUUGAUAGCCGAGUAGGCUGUAGCAUUCAUGGGAAAACCAUUAAAUUUGGAUGGUUUCGUGACCUUUAUGUUCAAAAUUCUUUGGUUAAUUUUUAUUCCGCAUGUGGGUUCUUGAAUAGUGCUAGGAAGUUGUUUGAUGAAAUGCUGAACAGGGAUGUUGUUUCUUGGAAUUCGAUGAUUAUUGGGCACUUGAGAGCUGGGAAUCUUGAUAUGGCAUUAAAAUUAUUUAGAAGCAUAGAGAAGAGGAAUAUUAUCACUUGGAACUCGAUGAUAACGGGUUUUGUUCAGGGUGGCUUGGGAAAAGAGGCCUUGCAACUGUUCCAUGAAAUGCAGAAUUUAAGUAAUGAUAAUGUUAAACCAGAUAAAAUUACAAUGGCUAGUGUACUUUCAGCUUGUGCUUACCUUGGUGCAAUUGAUCAUGGGAAAUGGAUACAUAGUUACUUGAGGAGAAGCGGUGUUGAAUGUGAUCUGGUAGUUGGAACAGCAUUGAUUGACAUGUACGGUAAAUGUGGUAGUGUGGAGAGGGCAUACGAGGUCUUUAAAGAGAUGCCUAGAAGGGAUACCUUGGCAUGGACUGCUAUGAUUUCUGCAUUUGCACUUCAUGGGUAUAGCAAGGAGGCUUUUGACACUUUUGAAGAGAUGGAAGCCGUGGGAGUGAAGCCUAACCACGUCACAUUUGUUAGUUUGUUGUCAGCUUGUGUUCAUUCUGGCUUGGUAGAGAAAGGUCGCUGGUGUUUUGAUAUGAUGAGGCGUGUUUAUUCUAUAGAACCGCAGCUUCACCACUAUGCUUGCAUGGUUGAUGUUCUCAGUCGAGCAGGGUUAUUUGAAGAGGUAGAAAAUCUUGUAAGAAGUAUGCCAAUGGAGCCAGAUGUGUUUGUUUGGGGCGCAUUACUUGGAGGCUGUCAGAUUCAUGGAAAUAUAGAACUAGGAGAAAGGGUAGCACAAUAUUUGAUUGAUUUGGAACCGAUGAACCAUGCUUUUUAUAUAAACUUGUGUGAUAUAUAUGCCAAGGCUGGUAGAUUUGAUGAUGUGAAGAGAAUCAGAGCCUUAAUGAAAGCAAGAGGUAUCAGAAAAGAAGUUGCAGGCUGUAGCAUGAUUGAAGUUGAUGGGUUCGUUCUUGAAUUCUCGAUUAAAGGGUGGCCUGAGCUAGUGAUGGACGAGAUAGUGGUGAUCUUAAAUUUAUUGAAGAAUGAGAUUAAGGGUGAAGGUUCCGUUCAUUACUGUGAUGGGAUACUGUUGGAUGCACAAAAUUGAUGAGGUCGUACCUAUUAGUGUUUGGCUUUUCUCUACUUUACACGGUUCAGAAGAAGAAAUGGAACUAAGAUUUGUGGGCGGCAAUACCGUUCAAAGGGACAGGGGCAACCAUUUUUAUAAAAAGAACCGGAGAAGGACAUGACAGAGGCAAAUGACUAUUUCUUUUUUUUUUUUGAAAGAAAAGUGUUGCAUAGCCUAGAUUGUUGCUGCCAGUGAAGGGAUUUCCCGGAUGCCUUAGAGAAAUGAAAUCAUCAUUGUAUAAUGCCUGGAAAGCCACUGUUUAUGUGCUUCAGAUUAUAAGACCAUAUUAUCAACGUGGACAAGAUAGCGGAUUAGAAGUCAAAAUCCUUGCAAGAUGACCCGAUAAGAGCGGACAGGACGUCAUCAUUCAUUUUAUAUGCUUGUUCUCUGAUGCAAAAUUCAGAUACCAAACUCUCAUCAGGCUAUCUAGAAAUAUAUCAGAAAAGAUUAUUUACUUC